CAGGGAGGUUCGACUCGAGCGAAGCGAGAGAACGUUGCGCCAGCAACGGCCCGCAGGGCGAGCCACGAAGUGGCGAGUAAUCCUCUAUCACCGACCA
rnacentral:sRNA from 1 species